GAGUCCCAAAUAGGUUCCUGGCC
rnacentral:siRNA from 1 species